UCCCUUCACUCUUAGUGACUCAAUAAAACGAGUCAACACUCUGCACGCGCAAACCAGCGUCAUUCCGUUUAAAAGUUCAUUUUGAUGGCACGUUUAAUCUUUACGAGGCGUCCAUCAGGUGUGCAUGUGUCCUGGAAUACUGCAUGUUGUAAACGGAUUGUUGUGGUCUUACUAUGUCAGCCUACAUCACCCGCUGUCAGCACCAGGGCUGGAUGAGGGCCACCGACAUGAAAGGUUCAUCAAUACACUGGAUAUCUUGUGGACAGCCACUUUCAGAACCAAUCAAAUGGCAGGUCAAGUUUUGCUUGGUUGCAGAAUGUCAGCUAAUUCUCCUGGACAUAUACUCCUUAUAUAUAACAUAUCAUGUUUUUUAAAAUAGGUAAGCCUUUUAGAAAUAAUAUGGGUCCUAUAAUCAUUUGGCUUUCAGUUGUUGGCUUAAAUAUAAAGGCCUAUAAAUCGGACUGAUACUGAAA